rnacentral:rRNA from 1 species
CCUACGGGCGGCAGCAGUGGGGAAUAUUGCACAAUGGGGGAAACCCUGAUGCAGCGACGCCGCGUGAGUGAAGAAGUAUUUCGUUACGUAAAGCUCUAUCAGCAGGGAAGAAAUACUGACCUUACGGUCAGCAGACGGUACCUGAGUAAGCAGCACCGGCUAACUACGUGCUAGCAGCCGCGGUAAUACGUAGGUGGCAAGCGUUAUCCGGAGUUACGGGGGGUAAAGGGAGCGUAGACGGUGCGACAAGUCUGGAGUGAAAGGCCGCAGCUUAACCGUGGAACUGCAUUGGAAACUGGCGAACUAGAGUGCGGGAGGGGCAAGCGGAAUGCCUAGUGUAGCAGUGAAAUGCGUAGAUAGUAGGAGGAACACCGGUGGCGAAGGCGGCUUACUGGACAGUAACUGACGUUGAGGCUCGAAAGCGUGGGGAGCAAACAGGAUUAGAUACCCGAGUAGUC